UACGUAGGGUGCGAGCGUUAAUCGGAAUUACUGGGCGUAAAGCGUGCGCAGGCGGUUUUGUAAGCCAGGUGUGAAAUCCCCGGGCUCAACCUGGGAAUGGCAUUUGGGACUGCAAGGCUGGAGUGCGGCAGGAGGAGAGUGAAUUCCUGGUGUAGCAGUGAAAUGCGUAGAUAUCAGGAGGAACACCGAUGGCGAAGGCAGGUCUCUGGGCUGACACUGACGCUCAUGCACGAAAGCGUGGGGAGCAAACAGG
rnacentral:rRNA from 1 species